rnacentral:rRNA from 1 species
UGAUGACUUUAAGCUACGGCGUCGAAGCAGUCUAUGUCAUACUUCCAAGAAAAGCUUGCACUGUCAUAAACAAAUAAUGCCUGUACCAUAACCGACACAGGUGGGUAGGUAGAGUAUACUAAGGGGCGCGAGAUAACUCUCUCUAAGGAACUCGGCAAAAUGACUCCGUAACUUCGGGAGAAGGAGUGCCUUAUUUAUAAGGUUGCAAUAACAAGAUCCAAGCAACUGUUUACCAAAAACACAGGUCUCCGCUAAGUCGUAAGACGAUGUAUGGGGGCUGACGCCUGCCCAGUGCCAGAAGGUUAAAGAAGUUGGUUAGCAUCCGCGAAGCUGAUAACUGAAGCCCUGGUGAACGGCGGCCGUAACUAUAACGGUCCUAAGGUAGCGAAAUUCCUUGUCGGGUAAGUUCCGACCCGCACGAAAGGCGUAAUGAUUUGGAUACUGUCUCGGAGAGGGGCUCGGUGAAAUAGACUUGUCUGUGAAGAUGCGGACUACCUGCACCAGGACAGAAAGACCCUAUGAAGCUUUACUGUAACCUGAAAUUGAAAUUGGACUUUACCUGCGCAGUAUAGGUGGGAAGCGUUGAGAAUAUUCUUGCGGGAUUAUCGGAGCCACCAGUGAGAUACCACUCUUGUAAUGUUAGAUUUCUAACUUUGUAUCAUUAUCUGGUCAAAGAACAGUUUCAGGCGGGCAGUUUGACUGGGGCGGUCGCCUCCUAAACGGUAACGGAGGCGCACAAAGGUUUCCUCUUAACGGGUAGAAAUCGUAUCUAGAGUGUAAAGGCAUAAGGAAGCUUGACUGUGAGACCUACAAGUCGAGCAGGGACGAAAGUCGGUCUUAGUGAUCUGACGGUGCUGAGUGGAAAGGCCGUCACUCAACGGAUAAAAGUUACUCUAAGGAUAACAGGCUGAUCUCCCCCAAGAGUUCACAUCGACGGGGAGGUUUGGCACCUCGAUGUCGGCUCAUCGCAUCCUGGGGCGGUAGUACGUCCCAAGGGUUGGGCUGUUCGCCCAUGAAAGCGGUACGCGAGCUGGGUUCAGAACGUCGUGAGACAGUUCGGUCCAUAUCCGGUGUAGGCGUUAGAAUAUUGAGAGGAGCCUUCUUUAGUACGAGAGGACCGAGAAGGACAUACCUCUGGUGUACCAGUUAUCGUGCCAACGGUAAACGCUGGGUAGCUAUGUGUGGAGUGGAUAACCGCUGAAAGCAUCUAAGUGGGAAGCCCACCUCAAGAUAAG